UAGGGAAUAUUGCGCAAUGGGGGAAACCCUGACGCAGCAACGCCGCGUGAGUGAGGAAGGUCUUCGGAUUGUAAAACUCUUUUAUUAGGGAAAAAUGUCUUAGUGGUUAAUACCCAUUGAGAGUGAUGGUACCUAAGGAAUAAGCACCGGCUAACUUCGUGCCAGCAGCCGCGGUAAUACGAAGGGUGCAAGCGUUGUUCGGAAUCAUUGGGCGUAAAGCGCGCGCAGGCGGAUCAGCAAGUCAGAUGUGAAAUCUCGAAGCUCAACUUCGAAACUGCGUCUGAAACUGCUAGUCUAGAAUGUCGGAGGGGGCAGGGGAAUUUCACGUGUAGGGGUAAAAUCCGUAGAGAUGUGAAGGAACACCGGAGGCGAAGGCGCCUGCCUGGACGACUAUUGACGCUGAGGCGCGAAAGCGUGGGGAGCAAACA
rnacentral:rRNA from 1 species